rnacentral:rRNA from 4 species
GUUGGGUAGGGGAGCGUUCUGUAAGCCUGUGAAGGUGGCCUGUGAGGGUUGCUGGAGGUAUCAGAAGUGCGAAUGCUGACAUAAGUAACGAUAAAGCGGGUGAAAAGCCCGCUCGCCGGAAGACCAAGGGUUCCUGUCCAACGUUAAUCGGGGCAGGGUGAGUCGACCCCUAAGGCGAGGCCGAAAGGCGUAGUCGAUGGGAAACGGGUUAAUAUUCCCGUACUUGGUGUUACUGCGAAGGGGGGACGGAGAAGGCUAUGUUGGCCGGGCGACGGUUGUCCCGGUUUAAGCGUGUAGGUGUGUGUUCCAGGUAAAUCCGGUUCACUUUAACACUGAGGCGUGAUGACGAGGCACUACGGUGCUGAAGCAACAAAUGCCCUGCUUCCAGGAAAAGCCUCUAAGCAUCAGGUAACAUCAAAUCGUACCCCAAACCGACACAGGUGGUCAGGUAGAGAAUACCAAGGCGCUUGAGAGAACUCGGGUGAAGGAACUAGGCAAAAUGGUGCCGUAACUUCGGGAGAAGGCACGCUGACAUGUAGGUGAAGUGAUUUACUCAUGGAGCUGAAGUCAGUCGAAGAUACCAGCUGGCUGCAACUGUUUAUUAAAAACACAGCACUGUGCAAACACGAAAGUGGACGUAUACGGUGUGACGCCUGCCCGGUGCCGGAAGGUUAAUUGAUGGGGUCAGCGCAAGCGAAGCUCCUGAUCGAAGCCCCGGUAAACGGCGGCCGUAACUAUAACGGUCCUAAGGUAGCGAAAUUCCUUGUCGGGUAAGUUCCGACCUGCACGAAUGGCGUAAUGAUGGCCAGGCUGUCUCCACCCGAGACUCAGUGAAAUUGAACUCGCUGUGAAGAUGCAGUGUACCCGCGGCAAGACGGAAAGACCCCGUGAACCUUUACUAUAGCUUGACACUGAACAUUGAGCCUUGAUGUGUAGGAUAGGUGGGAGGCUUUGAAGCGUGGACGCCAGUCUGCGUGGAGCCGGCCUUGAAAUACCACCCUUUAAUGUUUGAUGUUCUAACGUGGACCCGUGAUCCGGGUUGCGGACAGUGUCUGGUGGGUAGUUUGACUGGGGCGGUCUCCUCCUAAAGAGUAACGGAGGAGCACGAAGGUUGGCUAAUCCUGGUCGGACAUCAGGAGGUUAGUGCAAUGGCAUAAGCCAGCUUGACUGCGAGCGUGACGGCGCGAGCAGGUGCGAAAGCAGGUCAUAGUGAUCCGGUGGUUCUGAAUGGAAGGGCCAUCGCUCAACGGAUAAAAGGUACUCCGGGGAUAACAGGCUGAUACCGCCCAAGAGUUCAUAUCGACGGCGGUGUUUGGCACCUCGAUGUCGGCUCAUCACAUCCUGGGGCUGAAGUAGGUCCCAAGGGUAUGGCUGUUCGCCAUUUAAAGUGGUACGCGAGCUGGGUUUAGAACGUCGUGAGACAGUUCGGUCCCUAUCUGCCGUGGGCGCUGGAGAACUGAGGGGGGCUGCUCCUAGUACGAGAGGACCGGAGUGGACGCAUCACUGGUGUUCGGGUUGUCAUGCCAAUGGCACUGCCCGGUAGCUAAAUGCGGAAGAGAUAAGUGCUGAAAGCAUCUAAGCACGAAACUUGCCCCGAGAUGAGUUCUCCCUGAGACUUAAAGUCUCCUGAAGGAACGUUGAAGACGACGACGUUGAUAGGCCGGGUGUGUAAGCGCAGCGAUGCGUUGAGCUAACCGGUACUAAUGAACCGUGAGGCUUAACCUU